rnacentral:rRNA from 1 species
GAUGAACGCUAGCUACAGGCUUAACACAUGCAAGUCGAGGGGAAACGGCAUCGAAAGCUUGCUUUUGAUGGGCGUCGACCGGCGCACGGGUGAGUAACGCGUAUCCAACCUGCCCAUCACUUGGGAAUAACCUUGCGAAAGUAAGACUAAUGCCCAAUGACAUCCCACGAAGGCAUCUGAAUGGGAUUAAAGAUUUAUCGGUGAUGGAUGGGGAUGCGUCUGAUUAGCUUGUUGGCGGGGUGACGGCCCACCAAGGCAACGAUCAGUAGGGGUUCUGAGAGGAAGGUCCCCCACAUUGGAACUGAGACACGGUCCAAACACCUACGGGAGGCAGCAGUGAGGAAUAUUGGUCAAUGGGCGAGAGCCUGAACCAGCCAAGUAGCGUGCAGGAUGACGGCCCUAUGGGUUGUAAACUGCUUUUAUAAGGGAAUAAAGUGGGUCACGUGUGACUUUUUGCAUGUACCUUAUGAGUAAGGACCGGCUAAUUCCGUG